CUUUAGCAUAAAAUACAUGUAGUAUUGCCCCCUUUUUUUGCAUAUUUUAAGCCCUUUCUAAUCAGGGAGAUUACUAAGGGGCGGGUCCAUUUGCACCCACACCCAUGGAGGGGGACCGGAUGGUGAAGGACGGAUAUGGCCAGAUGAGCCUAGCAUCCCAAAAAAAACUUUUCGGGAGUUACCAGACCCGGGUCUUUCUGCGUGGCAUGCCAACAGUGUUAUCCCUCGGCUAUCCAGCUGCUCCCUUUUUUAACAAUUUAUCCUUGAGGGCCUUUAAACUUUUCUCCUUCCUCAAAACAUUAAACAAUUAGGAAAAUGCAAAAUUUGCAGUAUUUUGAGCACUUCAUUCAAAAUGAUGGAAAAUGAUGACGAC
rnacentral:lncRNA from 1 species